UAUGUAGGUUUAGCAAACCAAUAUUUCACUGAAAGAGAGCACAUUUUAAACCCCAGCAAUGAGUUCAGUCCUGGUUACAUAUUGUGUAUUGCUAUGGAUUACAUAUGCAAAAUCACAGACAUUAAGUCUGACACCUUCAAAUAAUGCAGUUAAUCUGGGAGAGAGGGCAACUUUCUCCUGUAAUGUUGGAGCUAAGGAUGGUGACUGGGUACAUCUUUUAAAGCAGAUACCAGGGAAUGCUCCACAGCUGAUUAUAUAUAAUCACCAUUCAUUCACCUCUCCUAGAUAUGGACCAGGGAUAUCUACUGACCGCUAUACUGCCACCAUUAAUGCUGCAGCCACUGAGUAUCAUUUUAUUAUUAAGAAGGUAGAGACAGCAGACACUGCUCAUUAUUACUGUAUGAAAUGGUUUGGCAGCAUAUCAGCAUGCCACUGUGAUAAAGAGUUUGACAAGAACUGGCCACAAAAAACAUGUUAACAGAAUACAGAACUAUUUAAUGUCAGACUGCACAUCGAAACAUAUCUUUUUUUUUACAUAGUGUUUUAGUGGCAGAUAUAUAUAGAUUGAACUAAGGAAUAUAAAAAGAUUCCCAG